UCAUGUGGUCGAGACCAAACGUUUUGUC
rnacentral:sRNA from 1 species